GACGAACGCUGGCGGCGUGCUUAACACAUGCAAGUCGAACGGUGAUCCAUCAGCUUGCUGGUGGUGAUCAGUGGCGAACGGGUGAGUAACACGUGAGUAACCUGCCCCUGACUCUGGAAUAACCCCGGGAAACCGGGGCUAAUACCGGAUAUGACAUCAUCCCGCAUGGGUGUGGGGUGGAAGGUUUUUUCGGUUGGGGAUGGGCUCGCGGCCUAUCAGCCUGUUGGUGAGGUAGUGGCUCACCAAGGCGACGACAGGUAGCCGGCCUGAGAGGGCGACCGGCCACACUGGGACUGAGACACGGCCCAGACUCCUACGGGAGGCAGCAGUGGGGAAUAUUGCACAAUGGGCGGAAGCCUGAUGCAGCGACGCCGCGUGAGGGAUGACGGCCUUCGGGUUGUAAACCUCUUUCAGCUCUGAAGAAGCGAAAGUGACGGUAGGAGCAGAAGAAGCACCGGCUAACUACGUGCCAGCCGCCGCCGUAAGAC
rnacentral:rRNA from 1 species